UUCACCAACCACUCCAGAGGCCCAGCGGCGCUGCCUGUCGCCCCCGGCCGUGGCUCCUCCUCCUCCUGCUGCCGGUCGGUCCCAGGGCGCACGGCUGACAUCACGCCCGGGGUUUCCAUCCGACCGCGGGAGGGGGAGGCAGAGUGGAGAAGCGGCAUGAUGGCGGCGGUCGAGAGGACUUGAGGAGCGGUGGCGGAGCAGAGCGGCGCAACACUCACUCGGGUACUCUCUGCGCCCCUCCCUGCCCAGUUCGGGGCCCCAUUGUUCGAGCGGGCGGGCGAGCGAGUCUACCGCGUCAAAGCUACGAGGAGCCGGCGGCCAGAGGGACGAGCGGCGGCCCAGGGCCCGCCGCGGCAGCAGCCCCCGACCCUAGGCUGGGGUAUUUGAGGAGAAAUCUUGAAUACACACAAAGAACACUAGAGCAAACACCUGACUUGGCAAACAAGCAGAGUACCAAGAAGAUAUCCACAUUGUAACCAGAGUGGUCUUUUAUUUAUCUUUUGAACUUACUAAUAUUUACAAUGAAUUUGCACAGCGAUGAAGAAAGCAUAAGAAACAGUAGUGGAGAGUCAAGGAGCUCUACUAAAGACAUCAUUGUAUUGCUCCUGGAACCAGCUGCAUGUCGAAGGAUGGUCACAUCAGACCACAGUAGUAGACCCCUUGGGAACCACUGAUACUUCCUGCCUAUGAAAGAUUCCUGGAACUUCUUUGGGUUCUUAAGAUAUGUGACUUGUGGCUCUCAAAGACUUGCUGUGUGUUUCUUGGGGUUGUGAAAGUGGGUAGAUGAUCAGUGUAGUUUUGAUACCUUUACUUUGGGGAUGGUUUGUAGUAGUGGCAGCAGAUAGUAGCCUGCAGGACUGGAAAUAUAAUGCAUUUCUCUGAGUUGCUAGCCCACAUCAGGAAAAUUCAGUUAAAUUCAUGCUUUGUGAUAGCUGAGAUCAGGAAAUAACCCUUGCUAGACUGAACUUUAUUCUGUUUGUUCCCUCUGAUUUUUACUGGUGGUGAUAAAUAAGAUAAAUUUUCUUUAUGCAUCUAAAUCAAAUUAAGUAGUUGUUUUCCUU